rnacentral:rRNA from 1 species
UGAGGAAUCUUGCGCAAUGGGGGCAACCCUGACGCAGCCACGCCGCGUGCUGGAAGAAGGUCCUAUGGAUCGUAAACAGCUUUUCUACGGGAAGAAGGGGUCCCGAUUCGUCGGGACUUGACGGUACUGUAGGAAUAAGCACCGGCUAACUCCGUGCCAGCAGCCGCGGUAAUACGGAGGGUGCAAGCGUUGUCCGGAAUCAUUGGGUGUAAAGGGUGCGUAGGCGGAGCUUUAAGUCUGCGGUGAAAUCUUGCCGCUUAACGGUAAAAGUGCCGUGGAAACUAGAGCUCUUGAGUGUAGCAGAGGCCGGUGGAAUUCGUGGUGUAGCGGUGAAAUGCAUAGAUAUCACGAAGAACACCAGUGGCGAAAGCGGCCGGCUGGGCUACGACUGACGCUGAGGCACGAGAGCGUGGGGAGCGAACA